UCUUCUCCACUAGACUGAGCCUCUGGGACAGGGCUGGGCUUGAACAGUUUAUUCCUUUGGCAUCUUACCCCAGGGCAUGCUAAGGCAAGGGACUUUCAGAGAAAGCAGUUUGAAGAUAAAAGAGAAAGGGAGGAGUGGGCUGGAGGAGGAAGCCUGGGAACUCCUGGUUGGGUGGUCCAUGUACCAGACUGUGGGUGGAGAGAAGAGACCCUGAAUAUCUACCUCUUCUGUUUGGUGUCAAGCUUCUCCUAAGUAUGCAUUUAUUGUUCUGCUCAAGGCUCACAGACCCUCUUGGAGACUUACCUCAGAGCAUCAGAGAUGUUUGGGAUGGUUUACCAAUACGGCUUUUGUAGAAAAGCCAGAAGUGGAUGACAAGCAGCAUUCAGUGUCUGAGGAUCCAGAAUAUAAUUAGAAUAUAAUUUUUCUAUUGGAAUUCCUUGGAACCUAUGUUAAACACCAGCACCGUUUUAAUCCUGAGGGUCCACUUUCUGCUCAAGAUACUCUGGCAAAAGGAGUUUCAGAUGACAUAAAGCAAGAAAAGAGAAACAUCACAGAAGCAGUGGAAAUUGAGCAUUGCAUUCACCAGGCUUCCUGGGAACAGCUCAAUGGGAACGUUGGCCAUGAGUUGAAGGGAGAAGGGGGUCUAAGGAGUGAAAUGGAUUUCAAAAUAAAGCAAAAAUAAUUAAUAAUUCACAAUGUUAAGGAGCGUACGGGACAUUUUCAUGCCACAAUCAACCCAAACUUAUUAAUAAGAUCUUUAAACCACAGACUUCAUAUAAAAGAAUCCAGUUGCAGAAAUACACUCAAAGCAACUUGAUGAUAGAUUUAACAGUUUCAAAGUGCCAGGAUCAGCCCAAGCUCAGUCUACUCCAAAUCUUCCAAAUAUGGUAACGGAAGAAACUACUUGAUUUUAGUAAAACAUACACAGC